rnacentral:rRNA from 1 species
UACAGAGGUCUCAAGCGUUGUUCGGAUUCAUUGGGCGUAAAGGGUGUGUAGGUGGCGCGCUAAGUCGGGUGUGAAAUUUUCGGAGCUUAACUCCGAAAACUGCAUUCGAUACUGGCGUGCUUGAGGACUGGAGAGGAGACUGGAAUUCAUGGUGUAGCAGUGAAAUGCGUAGAGAUCAUGAGGAAGACCAGUGGCGAAGGCGGGGUCUCUGGACAGUUCCUGACACUGAGGCACGAAGGCCAGGGGAGCAAACGGGG